rnacentral:rRNA from 1 species
UACAGAGGGGGCAAGCGUUGUUCGGAAUUACUGGGCGUAAAGGGCGCGUAGGCGGUUCGGUAAGUCAGGUGUGAAAUCUCCACGCUCAACGUGGAGGCGCCACCUGAAACUGCCGUGACUCGAGUCCGGUAGGGGAGUGUGGAAUUCCUGGUGUAGCGGUGAAAUGCGCAGAUAUCAGGAGGAACACCAGUGGCGAAGGCGGCACUCUGGGCCGGUACUGACGCUGAGGAACGAAAGCCAGGGGAGCAAACGGG